rnacentral:ncRNA from 1 species
AAAAGUUCUACGGGGUAGCAGAAAAUAAAGCGCGGGGUGAGCGCGUUGCCGGCACGUGGUGCACGUGCCGGCCGCGGAAGUGUCUGCAUGUACGGCGGGGCCAAACAUCGUCGAACAACAAUCAGGCAUGCAGGCCGACUUGCGGGAUAAGCGACGUUCCGUCGUCCCACCGGGGAAAGGCAGUGAUCGGGCGGCGGCGGACGUUUUUUAAUC